rnacentral:rRNA from 1 species
CAGACUCCUACGGGAGGCAGCAGUGGGGAAUAUUGGACAAUGGGCGCAAGCCUGAUCCAGCCAUGCCGCGUGAGUGAUGAAGGCCUUAGGGUUGUAAAGCUCUUUCACCGGGGAAGAUAAUGACGGUACCCGGAGAAGAAGCCCCGGCUAACUUCGUGCCAGCAGCCGCGGUAAUACGAAGGGGGCUAGCGUUGUUCGGAAUUACUGGGCGUAAAGCGCACGUAGGCGGCUUUGUAAGUCAGGGGUGAAAUCCCGGAGCUCAACUCCGGAACUGCCUUUGAUACUGCAUCUCUCGAGUCCGGGAGA